rnacentral:tRNA from 4 species
GGGGCUAUAGCUCAGUUGGGAGAGCGCCUGCCUUGCACGCAGGAGGUCUGCGGUUCGAUCCCGCAUAGCUCCACCA